rnacentral:tRNA from 1 species
GGGCUCGUGGUCUAACGGGAUGACGCCGGUAUGGCAUACCGGCAGUCCGGGUUCAAUUCCCGGCGGGUCCA